rnacentral:tRNA from 1 species
UAGAUUAAAGCCUGUGAUUAGGUGUUUAGCUGUUAACUAAAAGGUCGCAGGAUAGAGGCCUGCUAAUCUAG